rnacentral:rRNA from 1 species
AGCGGCGGACGGGUGAGUAAUGCCUAGGAAUCUGCCUGGUAGUGGGGGAUAACGCUCGGAAACGGACGCUAAUACCGCAUACGUCCUACGGGAGAAAGCAGGGGACCUUCGGGCCUUGCGCUAUCAGAUGAGCCUAGGUCGGAUUAGCUAGUUGGUGAGGUAAUGGCUCACCAAGGCGACGAUCCGUAACUGGUCUGAGAGGAUGAUCAGUCACACUGGAACUGAGACACGGUCCAGACUCCUACGGGAGGCAGCAGUGGGGAAUAUUGGACAAUGGGCGAAAGCCUGAUCCAGCCAUGCCGCGUGUGUGAAGAAGGUCUUCGGAUUGUAAAGCACUUUAAGUUGGGAGGAAGGGCAUUUACCUAAUACGUAAGUGUUUUGACGUUACCGACAGAAUAAGCACCGGCUAACUCUGUGCCAGCAGCCGCGGUAAUACAGAGGGUGCAAGCGUUAAUCGGAAUUACUGGGCGUAAAGCGCGCGUAGGUGGUUCGUUAAGUUGGAUGUGAAAUCCCCGGGCUCAACCUGGGAACUGCAUUCAAAACUGUCGAGCUAGAGUAUGGUAGAGGGUGGUGGAAUUUCCUGUGUAGCGGUGAAAUGCGUAGA